UACAGUUGAGUACCAAAGACCGGCAUGACGUGGCAACAUCAACACCCUUAAACAUUUUGAAGCCGUAUCCUACAAAAGAAUAACUUGGCCUUGGCUGGUUGAAUUGAAAAUCAGACGAACAGAAAAAAUAAAAAAUAAAAAUGGCAUCAUCGUCAACAGCUAGAGUGUUGUUUCGCAUAGUAAUGGCCGUCCUUGUCAUCCUUGUGCUCUUCUAUGUGGGUCGUCCUCUUUACUGGAAAAUCUCGGCCACCGUUCAAGAGAUCCGCGAAAACAAGCAGACCGUUACGCAAGGCAUAAGUCAGAUAGUAUACGAGGCGCAGAAGACGGUUGGAUGGUGGCAGGGUGAGUCGGACUCCGGGGGAAAGAGAAUCGGUGCCACUCGUAGUUUUCUUUUUUAAGCUUUUUUUGUAUGUUCUCAGUUUAAUGGUUCUUUAUAAUGUUAUUAUGUCACAAUUAUGUAGUGGGUUUAAUUUAAUAUUAAUCCAUCUAGUUUUUUUUUUUUUU